rnacentral:rRNA from 1 species
UAGGGAAUCUUCCGCAAUGGACGAAAGUCUGACGGAGCAACGCCGCGUGAGCGAUGAAGGUUUUCGGAUCGUAAAGCUCUGUUGUUAGGGAAGAACAAGUACGAGAGUAACUGCUCGUACCUUGACGGUACCUAACCAGAAAGCCACGGCUAACUACGUGCCAGCAGCCGCGGUAAUACGUAGGUGGCAAGCGUUGUCCGGAAUUAUUGGGCGUAAAGGGCUCGCAGGCGGUCUUCUAAGUCUGAUGUGAAAUCUUGCGGCUUAACCGUAAGCGGUCAUUGGAAACUGGAGGACUUGAGUACAGAAGAGGAGAGUGGAAUUCCACGUGUAGCGGUGAAAUGCGUAGAGAUGUGGAGGAACACCAGUGGCGAAGGCGACUCUCUGGUCUGUAACUGACGCUGAGGAGCGAAAGCGUGGGGAGCAAACAGGAUUAGAUACCCCCGUAGUCC